rnacentral:rRNA from 1 species
UAGCCUACGGGGGGCAGCAGUAGGGAAUCUUCGGCAAUGGGGGCAACCCUGACCGAGCAACGCCGCGUGAGUGAAGAAGGUUUUCGGAUCGUAAAGCUCUGUUGUAAGAGAGGAACGUGUGUGAGAGUGGAAAGUUCACACAGUGACGGUAACUUACCAGAAAGGGACGGCUAACUACGUGCCAGCAGCCGCGGUAAUACGUAGGUCCCGAGCGUUAUCCGGAUUUAUUGGGCGUAAAGCGAGCGCAGGCGGUUGGAUAAGUCUGGAGCUAAAGGCUGCGGCUCUACCAUAGUAUGCUUUGGAAA